CCUACGGGAGGCAGCAGUGAGGAAUAUUGGUCAAUGGUCGGGAGACUGAACCAGCCAAGCCGCGUGAGGGAGGAAGGUACAGAGUAUCGUAAACCUCUUUUGUCAGGGAACAAAGGCGGGGACGUGUCCCCGGAUGAGUGUACCUGAAGAAAAAGCAUCGGCUAACUCCGUGCCAGCAGCCGCGGUAAUAGGGAGGAUGCGAGCGUUAUCCGGAUUUAUUGGGUUUAAAGGGUGCGCAGGCGGUCUGUUAAGUCAGCGGUCAAAGCCCGGGGCUCAACCCCGGCCCGCCGUUGAAACUGGCAGUCGCGAGUUGGAGAGAAGUAUGCGGAAGGCGCGGUGUAGCGGUGAAAUGCAUAGAUAUCGCGCAGAACUCCGAUUGCGAAGGCAGCAUGCCGGCUCCACACUGACGCUGAGGCACGAAAGCGUGGGUAUCGAACAGGAUUAGAUACCCGUGUAGUC
rnacentral:rRNA from 1 species